rnacentral:ncRNA from 1 species
UAUCGACUGACCUAGCAGACAAGCCGAGACAAUAGAACUUAUUUCCGUAGGAGGAAAUUAUG